UACGGGGGGAGCAAGCGUUUGUUCGGAUUUACUGGGCGUAAAGGGCGCGUAGGCGGCCAGCGCAAGUCAGUUGUGAAAUCUCCGAGCUUAACUCGGAAAGGUCAACUGAUACUGCGCGGCUAGAGUGCAGAAGGGGCAACUGGAAUUCUCGGUGUAGUGGUGGAAUGCGUAGAGAUCCGGAGGAACACCAGCGGCGAAGGCGGCAUCCUGGACUGGUCCUGACACUCAUGAGCGAAAGCGUGGGGAGCGAUCCGG
rnacentral:rRNA from 1 species